CAUUGUAUAUGAUCCGGCGGUCAGAUAAGACGAUCUGACUGAGACAUUGUAGGGCCGCGAGUGACGGUUAGAAAAUACAGCCUGUGUUAAACCUCGUGGCGUAACAUCCUCCCCCCGUUGAGAGGGUACCGAUCAAAUGAUAUGGUGUGGAGUCAGUUGCGUCGCUGGCGAAUCUCCUUGGCUCCGUGUGGGUGGAUGUUACGCCACGAGGCUUAACACAGGCUGUAUUUUCUAACCGUCACUCGCGGCCCUACAAUGUCUCAGUCAGAUCGUCUUAUCUGACCGCCGGAUCAUAUACAAUGUAUCGACGAGCGCAUAGCUGUUGCCAAGCAGCGAGUUCUCGAAACGUCGAAUUUGGUCCGUUACGUUUUCCACGCAAGAAUAGACAUACGUGAGCAUAGGCGCGAGCGGUGGCGUGACCUAAGUAUAGUGGGGGUCGUCUUAAAGAUGAGACAAAGAAAUCAUCCAAAGUGGAUCAGUUCCUUGUGACGCGUCGAACAUUACACAUUGCCAAACAUUCGCUUAUUCUGUUA
rnacentral:misc_RNA from 1 species